GCGAACGCUGGCGGCAGGCCUAACACCUGCAAGUCGAACGAACCUUUCGGGGUUAGUGGCGGACGGGUGAGUAACACGUGGGAACGUGCCUUUAGGUUCGGAAUAACUCAGGGAAACUUGUGCUAAUACCGAAUGUGCCCUUCGGGGGAAAGAUUUAUCGCCUUUAGAGUGGCCCGCGUCUGAUUAGCUAGUUGGUUGAGGUAAUGGCUCACCAAGGCGACGAUCAGUAGCUGGUCUGAGAGGAUGAUUAGCCACAUGGGGACUGAGACACGGCCCAAACUCCUACGGGAGGCAGCGGUGGGGAAUCUUGCGCAAUGGGCGAAAGCCUGACGCAGCCAUGCCGCGUGAAUGAUGAAGGUCUUAGGAUUGUAAAAUUCUUUCACCGGGGACGAUAAUGACGGUACCCGGAGAAGAAGCCCCGGCUAACUUCGUG
rnacentral:rRNA from 1 species